AUGCAAGUCGAGCGGCAGCGCGGGACUCAGGCAACUGAGCCCUGGCGGCGAGCGGCGAACGGGUGAGUAAUGCAUCGGAACGUGUCCCGUAGUGGGGGAUAACUCGGCGAAAGCCGAGCUAAUACCGCAUAUGCUCUACGGAGGAAAGUGGGGGACUCGCAAGAGCCUCACGCUAUGGGAGCGGCCGAUGCCCGAUUAGCUUGUUGGUGGGGUAAUGGCUUACCAAGGCAACGAUCGGUAGCUGGUCUGAGAGGAUGAUCAGCCACGCUGGGACUGAGACACGGCCCAGACUCCUACGGGAGGCAGCAGUGGGGAAUUUUGGACAAUGGGGGCAACCCUGAUCCAGCCAUGCCGCGUGCGGGAAGAAGGCCUUCGGGUUGUAAACCGCUUUUAGCUGGGAAGAAAAGAUCACGGAUAACACCCGUGGUUCUUGACGGUACCGGCGGAAUAAGCACCGGCUAACUACGUGCCAGCAGCCGCGGUAAUACGUAGGGUGCGAGCGUUAAUCGGAAUUACUGGGCGUAAAGCGUGCGCAGGCGGUUCGUUGUGUCUGUCGUGAAAGCCCCGGGCUUAACCUGGGAAUGGCGAUGGAAACUGACGAGCUUGAGUGUGGCAGAGGGGGGUGGAAUUCCGCGUGUAGCAGUGAAAUGCGUAGAGAUGCGGAGGAACACCGAUGGCGAAGGCAGCCCCCUGGGCUAGCACUGACGCUCAGGCACGAAAGCG
rnacentral:rRNA from 1 species